GCGAACGCUGGCGGCAGGCCUAACCCAUGCCAGUCGCACGAACCUUUCGGGGUUAGUGGCGGACGGGUGAGUAACACGUGGGAACGUGCCUUUAGGUUCGGAAUAACUCAGGGAAACUUGUGCUAAUACCGAAUGUGCCCUUCGGGGGAAAGAUUUAUCGCCUUUAGAGCGGCCCGCGUCUGAUUAGCUAGUUGGUUGAGGUAAUGGCUCACCAAGGCGACGAUCAGUAGCUGGUCUGAGAGGAUGAUCAGCCACAUUGGGACUGAGACACGGCCCAAACUCCUACGGGAGGCAGCAGUGGGGAAUCUUGCGCAAUGGGCGAAAGCCUGACGCAGCCAUGCCGCGUGAAUGAUGAAGGUCUUAGGAUUGUAAAAUUCUUUCACCGGGGACGAUAAUGACGGUACCCGGAGAAGAAGCCCCGGCUAACUUCGUG
rnacentral:rRNA from 1 species